UAUUGCCAUAUAUCACAUUUCUGUAUGGGUGGUCAUGUUAACAGUCAUGUGUUGCUUAUGUUUUGUUUAUUAGCUGCUAGCUAGAUAGAUGAAACGAUGAUGUUGCUUUUUCUCUGUGUGUCGCCUAUUAAAGCUGCCCAGACAACUAGCUAACUCACUAUCCUAAAAUUGUCCUUAUCACAGGAGAGGUGUCGAUGGACAUCGACAGUCCAGAUUUUGUGCCCUCCGUGUUCGUCUACACAACAGAGGGGGAGAAUCCUCAGUCUAAAUUAGACAGGUCAACGUUAAUGCUAGCUGCCAGCAUAAGGUUAGCUAGCUAACGCUAGCAUUCUCAUACCAUAGGCUGUAGCCUACUAAAGGUUGUGUACUCUCUCUUGCAUUGUUGUGUUACAGACGAAGCUGUCACGUUUUCUUUGGCUAUCACAGCCGUUUAUUCUGAUAAAUAGCAGAAUAGUGUUUCACAAUCACGUUCUUUGCUAUAAAAAGCUUCAGUUAGCUAAAUGAAAACAAAAACGAUUCAGUUCACUGUUCCCAAGUUAUAACGUAAAAGUUAGGUUAUCGAGCUAGGCUCCAACCAGAUUAGCAAGAUAGCACAACGUGGUGGACUUUUUCAUUUAAGCUAAAACAAAACAAAAAUGGUCUCUAAUAUAAAAAUGAGAGACCUCCUGUGUGGAUAUACUGCUUGCAUACCAACAUAUUAUCACAAUGAACACCUUUAGCUAUAACAGUGUGGAGCUUAUGUUAUGACUUCCCACGAAACAGGCUACUGCAGACUGGUGAUGGUGUGUAAUAACUUGACCUAAAGUUUGCAAAAUAGCACCAAUAGAUGGCGCUCGUGUUACAGAGAAUGAAUCUUUACCUUUUAAUGGCAAGUGGAAUUAUUAACUCCACUACGUAUGGGCAAACAGUAGUGUUACUUUGAAUGAACAGCUACUAUAAGUGAAACUUUGACAAUGACUUCAAUUUCUCUCACUGAAGGUUCAAUCGUAAGAGGAGGAGGGAUGAGAUAGGCCUACCUAGUUCUACUAUUCCAACAGACACCUCCAUGUCAGAAGAACAGCUGCCAAGUGCUACUGUUGUUGUUGUGAAACAGAAGAAGAGGAUGUGGUCCCCAUUGCUGAGUACAAUGCACUGCGUGUGAGCCAUGACCGGCUACAGGAGGAAUGUGCCAGUCUCCAUCGGGAUGUUAUAAGACUGACAGCUGAAAACGAGAAGCUCAAAGAAGAUCUCAAAGUCUCACGGUUUUGCUAUAGCACUAUCAAAAGUGACAUUGCUCAGUUUAUAUUUCUCACAGGUCUUCAGACCAUAGUCUUUGAUUGGCUCAUACAAACGUUAUCUGGCACUGUUGAUGUGGUUUGUAACAAAAUUAGUUUCCAAGAUCAUUUAUUGGUAGUACUUAUGAAAUUAAAAAUUGGCUUUAGCAAUAAAUACCUGGCUUAUAAAUUCAAUGUCUCUAACAGCACUAUAUCCAAAAUCUGUCGCACGUGGAUACCAACCAUGGCAAUUGUACUGAAACCCCUCAUAAAAUGGCCAAGUAAGGGAGCGGUACUCAAGAGUCUACCAAAAUCGUUCAAAAAUUUCAAAAGAUGUAGAUGCAUUAUUGAUUGCACUGAAAUUUUCAUUGACAGAACUACAAAUUUAACAGCAACAAACAUGGUCAAAUUAUAAACAUAACAACACUAUAAAAUAUCUAAUUGGAAUUUCUCCUGCUGGGGCAAUAACUUUUAUUUCUGGGGGUUGGGGUGGUCGGGUCUCUGACAAACAAAUAACCAAGGAGUCUGGCUUUUUGAGUCUUUUAGAGCAAAGCGAUGACAUUCUGGCUGACAGGGGAUUCUUAAUCAGAGAUGAUUUGGCAGCAUUAGGCGUAACAUUGCGAAUACCCUCUUUCACAAAAGGUAAAAAACAACUUGGAGCCCAUGAAGUAGAUAGGUCCAGACAACUUUCACGGGUACGUAUACAUGUGGAGCGUGUGAUUGGCCGUUGGAAAACAUUUAAAAUAUUGCAGACCGUCAUUCCCGUGUCACAGGUAGACAUGCUAGAUGACAUUGUUGUAGUUUGUGCUGCCCUUACAAACCUCUACAACAGUGUUGUGCAGUAAAAACAUGAUUAAGGCUAUGGUUUAUGAUUG